GUGAGGUAAUGGCUCACCAAGGCAUCGACGGGCAGCUGGUCUGAGAGGAUGAUCAGCCACACUGGGACUGGGACACGGCCCAGACUCCUACGGGAGGCAGCAGUGGGGAAUAUUGCACAAUGGGCGCAAGCCUGAUGCAGCAACGCCGCGUGCGGGAAGAAGGCCCUAGGGUUGUAAACCGCUUUCAGCAGGGAAGAAAAUGACGGUACCUGCAGAAGAAGGUGCGGCCAACUACGUGCCAGCAGCCGCGGUGACACGUAGGCACCAAGCGUUGUCCGGAUUUAUUGGGCGUAAAGAGCUCGUAGGCGGUUCAGUAAGUCGGGUGUGAAAACUCUGGGCUCAACCCAGAGAGGCCACCCGAUACUGCUGUGACUUGAGUACGGUAGGGGAGCGGGGAAUUCCUGGUGUAGCGGUGAAAUGCGCAGAUAUCAGGAGGAACACCAGUGGCGAAGGCGCCGCUCUGGGCCGUAACUGACGCUGAGGAGCGAAAGCGUGGGUAGCAAACAGGAUUAGAUACCCUGGUAGUCCGCGCCGUAAACGUUGGGCACUAGGUGUGGGUCUCAACCAACGAGAUCCGCGCCGUCGCUAACGCAUUAAGUG
rnacentral:rRNA from 1 species